CCUACGGGAGGCAGCAGUGGGGAAUAUUGCACAAUGGGGGAAACCCUGAUGCAGCGACGCCGCGUGAGUGAAGAAGUAAUUCGUUAUGUAAAGCUCUAUCAGCAGGGAAGAAAAUGCGGUUACUUGACUAUUAGCCCCUGCUCACUACCUGCCCAGAAGCACCGGUAUUACUAGGGGGGCAAGCGUUAUCGGGUUUACCUGGGGGAAAAGGGGGCGUAGACGGUAGGGCAAGCUUGGAGUGAAAGGCGGGGGCUCAACCCCCGGACUGCCCUGGAAACUGUACGGCUGGAGUGCAGGAGAGGUGAGUGGAAUUCCUAGUGUAGCGGUGAAAUGCGUAGAUAUUAGGAGGAACACCAGUGGCGAAGGCUGCUUACUGGACUGUAACUGACGUUGCGGCUCGAAAGCGUGGGGAGCAAACAGGAUUAGAUACCCUUGUAGUC
rnacentral:rRNA from 1 species